AACGAACGCUGGCGGCAGGCUUAACACAUGCAAGUCGAACGCCCCGCAAGGGGAGUGGCAGACGGGUGAGUAACGCGUGGGAAUCUACCCAGAUCUACGGAACAACAGAGGGAAACUUCUGCUAAUACCGUAUACGCCCUACGGGGGAAAGAUUUAUCGGAUUUGGAUGAGCCCGCGUAAGAUUAGCUAGUUGGUGGGGUAAUGGCCUACCAAGGCGACGAUCUUUAGCUGGCCUGAGAGGAUGAUCAGCCACACUGGGACUGAGACACGGCCCUGACUCCUACGGGAGGCAGCAGUGGGGAAUAUUGGACAAUGGGCGCAAGCCUGAUCCAGCCAUGCCGCGUGAGUGAUGAAGGCCUUAGGGUUGUAAAGCUCUUUCACCGAUGAAGAUAAUGACGGUAGUCGGAGAAGAAGCCCCGGCUAACCUCGUGCCAGCAGCCGCAGUAA
rnacentral:rRNA from 1 species